GCGAACUGUCCCUCCGAGGCUCUUACGCGGUUAGCCAUAUAAGUAUACAAUUAUCAGUUAGAAUAAAUUCUCAGAAUUAAGCUAAUUUACAUAUCAAUGUAUUAUAUCAUGUACUAGACUUAAAUCAACAAGCUACAGCAGAUGAUUACGAAGUUAUCUGUGAAAAAUCAUCACUAAGAACACAAGUUUUUCUACCCUUCAGUUUGUUGGUUCUAAAGAAUUUGAUUUUUUUUAAGUAAAAGCUGGUAUUUUGCCUGUUUGGAUAUGAAUGUUAGGGAAGGAGCAGUACAAAAAAGGUUGAAUUAAAAAGUAAACAAAAGUAUGUUUAUAAUGAUGCUAGCUCGUCAAUUGCAAAGAGAUUACUAAAAGAUAUUGAUUCCGUAAUCUACUCCUCAUCCUCCUCACCAAUUUUUGGGGCAAGAUAAAAUCGUAAAAAUCCGGAUUCCAUUUUAUACUCCACAAGAAGUGGAACAUCAUUGCUCAUUGAAAGUGUGACUCGGGUAGCUAAAGGAGUAGCCUUAGUGAACUGGGCUAAAUAUUUCAAAGAAAACGUAAGUGUUACAGCUUGGGUAAGAGAAAUUUCGAUACUUUGAUCUUGGUCAGAAAGAUCGGUAUGUUGUUUCAGCGUGGUACUACCAUUACCAAUAUCUCCCUUGCAGCUAAAACGAACACCCUCUUUACUAGCAUUGAUUGUUACUGAAUCACUCAAAGUUAAUAAAUCUCGAGUAAUGCGUUGAAAUUCGGCAGCAGGCAUAGUAAUAGUAGCAUCGUAUUCGAUAUCUGGUAUACCCAAGUGUUCUUGAUCAAUGUCCAUUAAUUUAACAUCAUAAUCAGAGAUCCUGUCAUUUUUCUCGCUCUCGAAAACCAAAUUCAAUACCUCAGGUGUAUCUUCAGCCUUUAAAGUAACCAAAUCCUCGUUUUGGGCACACCGUAAGACCUUUGAUAAGGCGUUCAGAUUUAUACCUAAAGCAAUAUUUCUAUCACACCGAUAUGGUUCAAAUCCAUCUGAUUUAAUAAGCAUAGAAACAAGGGCUACAUGAGAACUAUCCAUAGCCUGCAGAGAGAUACCGUUGUCAUUGCAAUCAAACU